GAAGUUUGCUGGACUGCCGCUGGUACUAGCCGAAAGGCCGAUGCUUGCAUCGGGUGGAAACACCGUACUGGAGGAACGUCCGGACUGCAUAGGGCGGCGUAGCAGCUAACGGCUGUCCACCGUGAGGUGAGGAUCAGAGCAACAGAGACGAGUUUGGACGGAAUCAUUCCCCCCCGGGUGUUCUGUGUGCCGGCGCAAGCCGAGCCGGAUGGCGUAAGCCAGACGGUCCAUGCGAAAGCAUGGAGCACACAGCCACCUUGGACGGGAACCGUCCAAGGUGAAACGGGCAAUCUCUACGCGCAGCAAUACCAAGUAGGCACACGUUGACGGGGCCCCCGGAGUGUGCGGGUAGGUAGCAUCGAGCCGUGGUGGCGACACCCGGCCCAGAGUAAUGGCGGUCAUGCAGCGGGAAACCGCUGUACACAGAAUCCGGCUUAUAGGCAGACUUCACAC
rnacentral:RNase_P_RNA from 1 species